rfam:Firmicutes bacterium CAG:882 genomic scaffold, scf153
UUUGGGAAAAACUUAGAUAUUCUUAGAACUCUGGCGGCAUCCCAGCCACAGACGGCAUGGAUGUCGGCUGAGCAGCAACGCAUACAAGGAAGUAUGCUUUGCUGCGAUGGCGUACACAGAUAUAAGCUAAAUCAGAGUUCUUAGAAUAUCUUGUUUUGUACAAC